UGUAAGUGCGUGUGAGUGUAAUGUAGU
rnacentral:sRNA from 1 species